GCGGAGUAGUCCUCUGACUAGGUAUUACACGCCAGCUAGCGGGCAACUUCGGACUACGGAUCAGAAGGUUGCAGGUUCGAAUCCUGCCGGGCGCGCCA
rnacentral:tRNA from 1 species